CCGGGGAAGAGGGAAAGGUGGCCCUGUUCAAGUAAGCAGCAAAUGUUCGCUUACGCGGGCUUCUUAUCCGUCUGUCCCGGU
rnacentral:pre_miRNA from 1 species